AAUAUUUCUGUGUUAUUAUUAAUGAUCAAGGGGGUUCCUUUAUAAAAGGAUUACAAGAUGAAGAUAAAUGGAAAGUAUCGAAAACCUAAGCUCACUAGGAUUAGGAAAACUACUAAUACAUAAUAAUGGAAAGAUUACAUCUACUAGGAAAAAGAAAGAGUUUCCUUUUCUCCAAGCUUUGUGGCCGUCUCUCUCUCUCCUAAAGUCGGCUCUCUCUCUCCUCUCUCUAGGCUUCGGCCGUCUCUCCAUCUUCUAGGUAUUGGGCCGGUCUCGGUCUG
rnacentral:lncRNA from 1 species